GCCGGAUGUGGUGACGUGCAUCUGUAGUUCCAGCUACUCGGAGGCUGAGGCAGGAGAAUCACUUGAACCCAGGAGGCGGAGGUUGCAGUAAGCCAAGAUCAUGCCACUGCACUCCAGCCUGGGUGACAGAGUGAGACUCUGUCUCAA
rnacentral:SRP_RNA from 1 species